GGGUUUGUAGCUCAGUUGGUUAGAGCUCCCCGCUCAUAACGGGGCGGUCGUAGGUUCGAGUCCUACCGGACCCACCA
rnacentral:tRNA from 1 species